CUUGGUGUCCGUGUUCGAGGCAGUCAAAAGUCGGGCCGCUGAAAGGACGGCGUCGCUUCUCCUCUCGGCUCUGCGCGGAGGACCGACGCUGUGCAGCCCUUUCCGCCCGCAACACUUUUAUUUUUUCCCAGCAGGUUUUCCUUCUUGCACGGCGGGCCCGACCAAACGCCCUCACGCAGGGUCACAGCCGGCCCGCGGUCCGCAGGUUUCCCGGCCCUGAUCCCGGGAGGCAAGGGGGUGGUUUUCGUGCGGGUCGGAAUGCAGCAACUCGCCCGUACCUGCAACCGGAGCGAGCUGCGGUGCAACUAUGAACACAAAUAGGUGAGGAAGGAAGCGUCUCCCUGCUCUCCACCAAUCGGCUUUGGCCUUCAAUCCCUACCAUAUAUGGUCAGACCAGCAUGAACAAAAGUGGCAGAGAAGAAGAAGGUGGGGUCUAUAUUUGUGAUUUUUUUUUUAAAAAAUUCUCCUGCUACUGCUGGGGUGUAAAAUAUCUCUUCAGUCUCUCAUUAAAUUGUGGCCCAGCAGAAGAAGGUGGAAGUCGAGCGCACGAGCGGCGUGUCGCAACACGACAGGAAGACGUCAAAAACACAUUUUGACGCGUCGUGUGUGUGCAGGCAAUGUUUUAAGUCACAUUUUGAUAUUGUGUCAUGUAACAGAGGAAUUUAAGGUGGAGGUGGGACUGCAUCAGGGAUCAGGUCUGAGCCCCUUCCUGUUUGCAGUGGUAAUGGAUAGGCUGACAGAUGAGGUUAGACUGGAAUCCCCUUGGACCAUGAUGUUCGCAGAUGAUAUUGUCAUAUGCAGUGAAAGCAGGGAGCAUGCAGAGGAACAAUUGGAAAGAUGGAGACAUGCACUGGAAAGGAGAGGAAUGAAGAUUAGCCGAAGUAAAACAGAAUAUA